GUGCAAGUUCUCCCAUUUAAAAAGAUGAGAGAGGCCUGUAAUUUUCAUCAUAGGUACACUUCAACUAUGACGGACAAAAUGAGAAAAAAAAUCCAGAAAAUCACAUUGCAGGAUUUUUUAUGAAUUUAUUUGCAAAUAAUGGUGGAAAUAAGUAUUUGGUCAAUAACAAAAGUUUAUCUCAAUACUUUGUUAUAUACCCUUUGUUGGCAAUGACAGAGGUCAAACGUUUUCUGUAAGUCUUUACAAGCUUUUCACACACUGUUGCUGGUAUUUUGGCCCAUUCCUCCAUGCAGAUCUCCUCUAGAGCAGUGAUGUUUUGGGGCUGUUGCUGGGCAACACGGACUUUCAACUCCCUCCAAAGAUUUUCUAUGGGGUUGAGAUCUGGAGACUGGCNNNNNNNNNNNNNNNNNNNNNNNNNNNNNNNNNNNNNNNNNNNNNNNNNNNNNNNNACUUUGCAAAAGAGAGGAGUGUCUGUGUGUGUGCAGCAGAUGCCUCCUGAGCUUGCACUUACUCCGCUAAAGAGCAGAAUGUGUGUGCGUGCCUGCAUGUUUACGUGCCUGCCUGAGCAGACCAUAGCAGAGCGGAGUGGCUCAGUGCAGAGCAGCACGGCUCCAAGGCGUUUGCAAACUAACAGACGAUUAGCACUACGAAGCAACACAAAGAGAUCUAGCUCAUUAUUCUGUUCGGACUGCUACAUCACCGCCGCCGGUUCUCUCCCGUGGAGACGAAACGAGGGCUGAUUGCUAGGGGCGCUGAAUAGAAGGAAGACCCAUUUACGCAGCGCAAACAGCAUCUAUAAUGGAUGUGGAAGGGAAGGGGAGAGAGAGAACGUCUUCAGAGCCAAGGUUUGUGAACGCACCCCAAAAAAUGGAAGCAGAGAGAGAGAGAGAGAGAAAGAAAGAGAUCAAUCAAAUUGUAUUUGUCACAUGAGCGGGAUACGAAGGGGGUAAACUUUACUGGGAAAUGCUUACUUACAAGUCCUUCCCAAUGAUGCAGAGUAAAAAAUACAAUAACAAAAAUAACAAAUAAUAACACAAGAGGAAUAAAAUACACAAGAAUGGAGCUGUAUACAGAUAGUACCAGUACCAGAUCAAUGUGGAGCUAUAUACAGAUAGUACCAGUACCAGAUCAAUGUGGAGCUAUAUACAGGAAGUACCAGUACCAGAUCAAUGUGGAGCUGUAUACAGGAAGUACCAGUACCAGAUCAAUGUGGAGCUAUAUACAGGAAGUACCAGUACCAGAUUAAUGUGGAGUUAUAUACAGGAAGUACCAGUACCAUAUUAAUGUGGAGCUAUAUACAGGGAGUACCAGAUCAAUGUGGAGCUGCAUACAGAUAGUACCAGCACCAGAUCAAUGUGCAGAGCUACAAGGUAUUUGAGGUAGAUACUGUGCCUUGCAAAAGUAUUCAUCCCCCUUGGCAUUUCUCCUAUUUUGUUGCAUUACAACCUGUAAUUAAAAUGAAUUUUAUUUGGAUUUCAUGUAAUGGACAUACACAACAUAGUCCAAAUUGGUGAAGUGAAAUGAAAAAAAUGACUUGUUUCAAAGAAUUCUAAAAAACUCUAAAAUAUAAAGUCCACCUGUGUGCAAUCUAAGUGUCACAUGAUCUCAGUAUAUAAACACCUGUUCUGAAAGGCCCCAGAGUCUGCAACACCACCAAGCAAGGGGCACCACCAAUUAAGCGGCACCAUGAAGACCAAGGAUUUCUCCAAACAGGUCAGGGACAAAGCUGUGGGGAAGUACAAAACAGGGUUGGGUUAUAAAAAAAUAUCCGAAACUUUGAACAUCCCACGGAGCACCAUUAAAUCCAUUAUUUAAAAAUGGAAAGAAUAUGCCACCACAACAAACCUGCCAAGAGAGGGCCGCCCACCAAAACUCACAGACCAGGCAAGGAGGGCAUUAAUCAGAGAGGCAACAAAGAGACCAAAGACAACCCUGAAGGAGCUGCAAAGCUCCACAGCAGAGAUUGGAGUAUCUAUCCAUAGGACACUCCACAGAGCUGGGCUUUACGGAAGAGUGGCCAGAAAAAAAGCCAUUGCUUAAAGUAAAAAAGAAUCAAACACGUUUGGUGUUCGCCAAAAUGCAUGGAAGAAAGAACUCUGGUCAGAUGAGACUAAAAUUGAGCUUUUUGGCCAUCAAGGAAAACGCUAUGUCUGGCGCAAACCCAACACCUCUCAUCACCCUAAGAAUAACAUACCCACAGUGAAGCAUGGUGGUGGCAGCAUCAUGCUGCGGGGAUGUUAUUCAUCGGCAGGGACUGGGAAACUGGUCAGAAUUGAAGGAAUGAUGGAUGGCGCUAAAUACAGGGACAAUCUGGAGGGAAACCUGUUUCAGUCUUCCAGAGAUUUGAGACUGGAACGGAGGUUCACCUUCCAGCAGGACAAUGACCCUAAGCAUACUGCUAAAGCAACACUCGAGUGGUUUAAGGUGAAACAUAUAAAUGUCUUGGAAUGGUCUAGUCAAAGCCCAGAUCUCAAUCCAAUUGAGAAUCUGUGGUAUGACUUAAAGACUGCUGUACACCAGCGGAACCCAUCCAACUUGAAGGAGCUGGAGCAGUUUUGCCUUGAAGUAUGGGCAAAAAUCCCAGUGGCUAGAUUACUUUCGCAAUCCACUGUACGUACAUGAAGGCAGGGUAAAGUAGCAGCAGCAUAUGAUGCAUGUAAAAGUCUAUGUGUGUUUGUGUUAGUAUACAUGUGUGUAUGUAAAUGUAUUUGGGGUUUUGUGUGAGAUAUUUUGUGUAUACAUAGUCUUGUGAUUGUGCAUAGAGUCAAUGCAGAUAGUCCGGGUAACCAUUUAGCAGUCUUGUGGCUGGAAGCUGUCUUGGAGCCCGUUGGUCCGAAAGCCGGUGAUAUAAGAGAGAGAGAGAGAGAGAGAGAGAG
rnacentral:lncRNA from 13 species